AUCCGGGAUCCGCCAGACCCGCGGCAGAGGCGGGGGACCCACAGUUCCCGGGCUUGGUUUCCAAGUCCUUGGGGUGAAGCCGCUUAGGCGGCCGGACGGCCUCGUCCGAACCCGACAGCUAACCUCGAAGGCGUUGAGAGGCAACAA
rnacentral:sRNA from 1 species